GCCCACUAGCUAGCUCACCCAACAACAUAACACUUAUAUAUAAAUAUACAAGUACCAACAAAUAAAUAAACAAACCAUUUUUCCACUUUAGUAUAGGUGAUAGAAAAAGAAUCCGACGCAAUAGAGAAAGUACCGUAAGGGAACGCUGAAAGAGAAAUGAAACAACUCAGUAAAGCACAACAAAGCAGAGCUUACCCCUCGUACCUUUUGCAUCAUGUUUUAGCUAGAGCCCCUCAAGCAAAAAGCAUUGUAGUUUGACACCCCGAAACUAAGGGAGCUACUCCAAGACAGCCUAACAAUAGGGCCAACCCGUCUCUGUGGCAAUAGAGUGGGAAGAGCUUUGAGUAGAGGUGACAGACCUAUCGAACUUAGUUAUAGCUGGUUACCUGAGAAUUGGAUAGAAGUUCAGCCUCUUGAAUUCCUCCCUCGCCUUGAUAAUUUUCUAAGUGAGACCCUAGGAAGUCAAGAGAGUUAGUCAAAGGGGGUUCAGCCCCUUUGAAAAAAGAUACAACUUUUCUGGGUGGAUAAAGAUCAAAUUAACAAAGG
rnacentral:rRNA from 1 species